rnacentral:rRNA from 1 species
UACGUAGGGGGCAAGCGUUGUCCGGAAUUAUUGGGCGUAAAGCGCGCGCAGGCGGUUCUUUUAAGUCUGGUGUCUAAGUGCGGGGCUCAACCCCGUGUCGCACUGGAAACUGGGGAACUUGAGUGCAGAAGAGGAGAGCGGAAUUCCACGUGUAGCGGUGAAAUGCGUAGAGAUGGUGGAGGAACACCGAUGGCGAAGGCAGCCUCCUGGGCCAGCACUGACGCUCAUGCACGAAAAGCGUGGGGGAGCAAACAGG